AACGCGAAGAACCUUACCUGGUCUUAAACAUCCACGAAAGUUUUCAGAGAUGAGAAUGUGCCUUCGGGAACCGUGAGACAGGUGGUGCAUGGUUGUCGUCAGCUCGUGUCGUGAGAUGUUGGGUUAAGUCCCGCAACGAGCGCAACCCCUGCCAUUAGUUGCUACGCAAGAGCACUCUAAUGGGACCGCUACCGACAAGGUGGAGGAAGGUGGGGAUGACGUCAAAUCAUCAUGCCCCUUAUGUGCUGGGCUACACACGUAAUACAAUGGUCGUAAACAAAGAGAAGCAAAACCGCGAGGUGGAGCAAAACUCAAAAAGCGAUCUCAGUUCGGACUGUAGGCUGAAACUCGCCUGCACGAAGUUGGAAUUGCUAGUAAUCGUGGAUCAGCAUGCCACGGUGAAUACGUUCCCGGGUCUUGUACACACGC
rnacentral:rRNA from 1 species